rnacentral:pre_miRNA from 1 species
GAGACACCCUUAUGGACUUGCUUCAGUGGGGCUUUGGUGCUCACUGAGUCUGCACCUUGAGUGUGUCACU